rnacentral:ncRNA from 2 species
CUAUACAAAAGGCAAACUCUUUGAAAAAAGAGGACGCAAAGCCACGGGCCUAAGGACAUUUGUCUAUGGCGGCCGGGUUGCCUUA